rnacentral:rRNA from 1 species
AUUGAACGCUGGCGGAAUGCUUUACACAUGCAAGUCGAACGGCAGCACGGGUGCUUGCACCUGGUGGCGAGUGGCGAACGGGUGAGUAAUGCACCGGAACGUAUCCAAUAAUGGGGGAUAACGCACCGAAAGGUGUGCUAAUACCGCAUACGCCCUGAGGGGGAAAGCGGGGGGAUCGUAAGACCUCGCGUUAAUGGAGCGGCCGAUGCCGGAUUAGCUAGUUGGUGAGGUAAAGGCUCACCAAGGCGACGAUCCGUAGCUGGUCUGAGAGGACGACCAGCCACACUGGAACUGAGACACGGUCCAGACUCCUACGGGAGGCAGCAGUGGGGAAUUUUGGACAAUGGGCGCAACCCUGAUCCAGCCAU